rnacentral:rRNA from 1 species
GUGAAGAAGGCCUUCGGGUNUGUAAAGCUCUUUUGUCAGGGAAGAAAAGGGAUUGGCUAAUAUCUGGUCCUCAUGACGGUACCUGAAGAAUAAGCACCGGCUAACUACGUGCCAGCAGCCGCGGUAAUACGUAGGGUGCAAGCGUUAAUCGGAAUUACUGGGCGUAAAGCGUGCGCAGGCGGUUUUGUAAGACUGUCGUGAAAUCCCCGGGCUCAACCUGGGAAUGGCGAUGGUGACUGCAAGGCUAGAGUUUGGCAGAGGGGGGUAGAAUUCCACGUGUAGCAGUGAAAUGCGUAGAUAUGUGGAGGAACACCGAUGGCGAAGGCAGCCCCCUGGGUCAAAACUGACGCUCAUGCACGAAAGCGUGGGGAGCAAACAGGAUUAGAUACCCUGGUAGUCCACGCCCUAAACGAUGUCUACUAGUUGUCGGGUCUUAAUUGACUUGGUAACGC